GACGAACGCUGGCGGCGUGCCUAAUACAUGCAAGUAGGACGCAGUUGCGAACGGGUGAGUAACGCGUAGGUAACUGCCUAUUAGAGGGGGAUAACUAUUGGAAACGAUAGCUAAUACCGCAUACUAGUAGAUGGACCUGCGUUGUAUUAGCUAGUAGGUAGGGUAAUGGCCUACCUAGGCAACGAUACAUAGCCAAGCUGGCAGGGUGAUCGGGCAAACCGGGACUGGAAAACGGGCCAAGAUCCUACGGGAGGCAGCAGGAGGGGAUCAUCGGAAAUUGGGAGAACCCUUAACGAGGAACUGCGCGUGGUAGAAGAAAGGUUUCGGGUCGGAAAACUCUGUUGUUAAGGUAGCGGUACUUGACCAAAAAGGGACGGCUAACUACGUGCCAGCAGCCGCGGUAAUUC
rnacentral:rRNA from 1 species